rnacentral:rRNA from 1 species
AAUAGAUACCCUGGUAGUCCAUGCCGUAAACGAUGUCUACUAGCCGUUGGGGCCUUUGAGGCUUUAGUGGCGCAGCUAACGCGAUAAGUAGACCGCCUGGGGAGUACGGUCGCAAGACUAAAACUCAAAUGAAUUGACGGGGGCCCGCACAAGCGGUGGAGCAUGUGGUUUAAUUCGAUGCAACGCGAAGAACCUUACCUGGCCUUGACAUACUAGAAACUUUCCAGAGAUGGAUUGGUGCCUUCGGGAAUCUAGAUACAGGUGCUGCAUGGCUGUCGUCAGCUCGUGUCGUGAGAUGUUGGGUUAAGUCCCGCAACGAGCGCAACCCUUUUCCUUACUUGCCAGCAUUUCGGAUGGGAACUUUAAGGAUACUGCCAGUGACAAACUGGAGGAAGGCGGGGUACGACGUCAAGUCAUCAUGGCCCUUACGGCCAGGGCUACACACGUGCUACAAUGGUCGGUACAAAGGGUUGCUACACAGCGAUGUGAUGCUAAUCUCAAAAAGCCGAUCGUAGUCCGGA